AACGAACGCUGGCGGCAUGCCUAACACAUGCAAGUCGAACGAUGCCUUCGGGCAUAGUGGCGCACGGGUGCGUAACGCGUGGGAAUCUGCCCUUGGGUUCGGAAUAACUCAGAGAAAUUUGAGCUAAUACCGGAUGAUGACGUAAGUCCAAAGAUUUAUCGCCCAAGGAUGAGCCCGCGUAAGAUUAGCUAGUUGGUGGGGUAAAGGCCUACCAAGGCGACGAUCUUUAGCUGGUCUGAGAGGAUGAUCAGCCACACUGGGACUGAGACACGGCCCAGACUCCUACGGGAGGCAGCAGUGGGGAAUAUUGGACAAUGGGCGAAAGCCUGAUCCAGCAAUGCCGCGUGAGUGAUGAAGGCCUUAGGGUUGUAAAGCUCUUUUACCAGGGAUGAUAAUGACAGUACCUGGAGAAUAAGCUCCGGCUAACUCCGUGCCAGCAGCCGCGGUAAAGUCACGUCG
rnacentral:rRNA from 1 species